GAUGAACGCUGGCGGCGUGCCUAAUACAUGCAAGUCGAGCGAACAGACGAUGAGCUUUCUCCUCUGACGUUAGCGGCUGACGGGUGAGUAACACGUGGAUAACCUACCUAUAAGACUGGGAUAACUUCGUGAAACCGGAGCUAAUACCGGAUAAUAUAUUGAACCGCAUGGUUCAAUAGUGAAUGACGGUUUUGCUGUCACUUAUAGCUGGAUCCGCGCCGCAUUAGCUAGUUGGUAAGGUAACGGCUUACCAAGGCAACGAUGCGUAGCCGACCUGAGAGGGUGAUCGGCCACACUGGAACUGAGACACGGUCCAGACUCCUACGGGAGGCAGCAGUAGGGAAUCUUGCGCAAUGGGCGAAAGCCUGACGGAGCAACGCCGCGUGAGUGAUGAAGGUCUUCGGAUCGUAAAACUCUGUUAUUAGGGAAGAAAAAAUGUGUAAGUAACUAUGCACGUCUUGACGGUACCUAAUCAGAAAGCAACGGCUAACUACGUG
rnacentral:rRNA from 1 species